rnacentral:rRNA from 1 species
AUGAGGGAAUUCCAAGUGCUAGCACUUUUUGUGUUAGCUGUUCUCCUGUCUAAAAAACAGGAGAAGUAAGGGCCGGGUAAGACGGGUGCCAGCCGCCGCGGUAAUACCCGCGGCCCGAGUGGUGGUCGAUAUUAUUGAGCCUAAAACGUUCGUAGCCGGUCUUGUAAAUCCUUGGGUAAAUCGGCCAGCUUAACUGUCCGAAGUCCGGGGAGACUGCAAGACUUGGGAUCGGGAGAGGUCAGAGGUACUUCUGGGGUAGGGGUAAAAUCCUGUAAUCCUAGAAGGACCACCGGUGGCGAAGGCGUCUGACUAGAACGAAUUCGACGGUGAGGAACGAAGCCCUGGGGCGCAAACGGGAUUAGAUACCCCGGUAGUCCAGGGUGUAAACGCUGCGGGCUUGGUGUUGGGGGUCCUUAGUGGGCGCCCAGUGCCGGAGAGAAGUUGUUAAGCCUGCUGCUUGGGGAGUACGUCCGCAAGGAUGAAACUUAAAGGAAUUGGCGGGGGAGCAC